UUUGAGGGGAAUGUUGUUUGGCUCGAGGAACCUUAAUAAUGUUCACCGAUCUCUAUUUAUUUAUCCACUCUCCGAACUGAUGGUUAGAGAGUUAGUCAGAUAACUAUAUCUGUAAGGAUAUCUGAUGACCAAAGAUAAAAUAUUCUAAACCGAUGGUUUUAUAUUGUCCUCGGACCAGGCUUCAUUCCCCUUAAU